CAUAACCUGGUUGAUCCUGCCAGUAGUCAUACGCUUGUCUCAAAGAUUAAGCCAUGCAUGUGUAAGUAUAAACGAUUCUAUACUGUGAAACUGCGAAUGGCUCAUUAUAUCAGUUAUAGUUUAUUUGAUAGUACUUUACUACUUGGAUAACCGUAGUAAUUCUAGAGCUAAUACAUGCGUAAGUUCCGGGUCCUA
rnacentral:rRNA from 1 species